UUGCACUGUUCGUAACCUGUUGACAGUAUCUUCCUGGAAAUGGGUUCCAUUCUGGUGCUAUACUAAGUCCCAGAUAUAGAAGAGACAGAAUUUGUCAGUCUUCCCAUCUGGGGACAAAC
rnacentral:snoRNA from 1 species